AUGCCACAACUAGAGGGACCCACAACUGAAAUAUACAACUAUAUACUGAGGGGAUUUGUGGAGAAAAAAAGAAGGAGAAGAUUGGCAACAGUUGUUAGCUCAGGUGCCAAUCUUUUAAAAAAAAAAAAGAGAGAGAGAAGAGCCCCUUCUCAUAGCCUGGGCCCCUUCAUUGUGGCUGCAGAUUACAGCACAGUUCUGAGUGUUAAUCCAUGUGAAGGCUGCCUCAAGAAAGCUGAUUCCCUUAGGCAGCACCUGGUACCAGAGAAAUUCACAGUGCCUGAAGCUGAGAUCUGGGGUUCCCAUACCCAAGCCACAUCAAGGAACUGGAAUCUGGGAGAAAGGAAAACAGUACUAGAAGCAGAACAAGAGUGUGGGAUCACUCCUGGGUGGUACUGUCACCUCAUUUGGACAGUUCACUGCCUAGAUGUGCUGAGUGUGCAAAUUCUGUCUCGUUGCCUCAUCCAGUGUUUCUCUGAAUAGAAGCAAAUAUCUGGGCACCAGGUAUGACUUGUCUUGUGACCCCAGCCAGUAAGUCAGCCCUUUUGAGCCACCACCUCUCCCUUGGUUAGAAGCUCUUUGGCAAUGGGUUCAUGGAAAACAUCCCAGAAUGGGAGCUACAUGCUGAAUUCCCUAGUACUGGCUUUGCCAUCGAUUGUGUGAUUCAUUCUCUCUGAUGUUCAAGCUGUGAGAAGCAAAUUUGAAAUGAUGGAUGUGCUAUAUUAAAUAUAUCAAUAAGAGCAGAAGUUAAACCUUGCAAGCUGUAGGGUUUGCUUCCACGAUAAGCCUGGCUAUCUC
rnacentral:lncRNA from 1 species